UACAGAGGUCUCGAGCGUUAGGCGGAAUCACUGGGCUUAAAGCGUGUGUAGGUGGAUGCCUAAGUACCUUGUGAAAUCCCACAGCUUAACCGGGGAACUGCAUCCGAUACUGGAUGGCUUGAGUUCGGGAGAGGGAUGCGGAAUUCCAGGUGUAGCGGUGAAAUGCGUAGAUAUCUGGAGGAACACCGGUGGCGAAGGCGGCAUCCUGGACCGACACUGACGCUGAGGAGCGAAAGCGUGGGGAGCGAACAGG
rnacentral:rRNA from 1 species